rnacentral:rRNA from 1 species
GCCAGGAGCCAUGUCACCCUGCAGCCCAAGACUGGUUACCCACUGAAGCUAAGCAGGGUUGAGCCUGGUCAGUAGAUGGGAGACCUAGGUUGCUGCUGGAA